CAGAAUAAAAAAUAAAAGACAAGCUUUUUUUUUAUUGCACACCGAAGAAAAAACAUUUGGCAACAAAUGCCUUUAUUUUUUUGGACACAUGAACACAAAAUCCCUGCAGGCUAAAAAAUGAAAAGAAAAAAAAAAUACAUUGCAAUUAUACACAGCCAGCAUAUCGCAAUGGGGGAGGGAAGUACUGUUAACCUGCCCACCCCAGAGUUUCUUUUAAAGAAAAAGUACCUCGUAUUGCUAUAGACAUACAUCCAGUCCAAUUGAAUAAAAUACAAUUUAUAACAUGACAGGUCUAACAAUAGAGAAACGAACGAACCAAAAAAAAAAAAGGAAGGAAGAAAAAAAAUACACUGGACGUCGAAAAUGAACGUAGGCCAACAAGUUUUACGUACGAAGUCCAGGCUCUAGACAUAGAAAUAUCACAAAAGUGUCCAUAGCAAGGUAUAAAGAAACCCUUCAGUGAUACUCACAUUAUGAUCUUUCCUCAAUUUGCACAAGGGGAAAAAACCUUGCAGUUGAAGCAGUUAUUGAUACAAUGCCCUCAGGACUCUGUUUUACGAAAAUGAAAACAGAGGAACCGCCUUGCUGAUGAGCGAGAACGGGAAAAGGACCCACAGCAUUAUCAACAAAGGUAGUUUUCGUGGCGGGAGCGGGAAGAACUGAUUGGAGGUCGGGUGGCCGGUCGUAAGAAGAACCAGAUCCUUUCCUCUUGAUAUUAGGGCUGUAGGGGGGGGGGGAAUGGCUUCCCUGGAUCCUAGAAACACGGAACAUCUUCUGCAUCUGAUUUUGAAGUCUCCUGCGAUGCCCUUCUUCAAAUGCCCAAAAAGUCGCAGAAGGAAGCAAGACUCUCUGUUACAGAGCAAAACCUUUUUAGAGCCUCUUUGGAAUGAAAGUGCUCAAAAAAAAAAAAAUAAAUAAAAAGGCAGAAGACUUACAGAAGGAACCACACUUGAUUGUAAACACCAAGAACUACAGCCCAAUUUAGCCCACUCCCCUCCAGCCCACAGUUCAAAUUUGCUACAUUUGAAAACCGUCCAUGAUAUAACAGCAAAAAAAAAAAAAAGGAGCCAGCAGGCUUAAUAUAAACCAAGAGUCUCCAACCAAGUUGAAAUUCUAGAAGUUGUAGCCCAAAACAACCAAAGGUCGACACAGUUGGAGAAGACUGGUUGAAAGGAAACAACAUUAAAAAACCCCAACCAAACUAAACCCUAAAACCUUAAGAACUAGAGCUAGAAAAUGCACAUCUUCCCAUUGAUUGACACAUGCAUACCCAUUCAGUUCAUCCCCGGGGGAAGCAGCAGUCCCAAUGAGUCAAAAAGGUCUCCCAAAGAUCAACAAGACCUUCCCCUUUAUUAGUUUGAAGACCUUUAUCUGCUUUGACAGAAUUUUUCACAUCUGAAACAUACCCAAAUGACAUCAAUGGACUGUUCAGCAACUAAGAGAUGACUGAACAUUAUUAUUUUUUUUUUGCACAGGAAAAUUUUCAACAGAGACAAGAAGGAAGGGGGGGGGGAAAUCAUGAAAAAUUCCAAGAAAGUGCAAAAGUUGGCAAGAAAGUUUUCUCAUCAACAUUUUUGGGAUAAUAAAAUUCAUUGAUAAUAAUUCAGUAAAAAAAAAAGAAUCCUGCUUAGGUAUCAUUCUGAAAUACAGAGGACUUCAAAAGACCACUGUGGGUUGUGGGCUGUAGUACACAAGAACAAUAUGAUCAAAACCCUUCUUUUUUUUCCUAUGAUAUACAAAUUUUCAAAAAAAAACCAAAACAAAAACAAACCAACAUAGCUUAUUCAGCCUUAUUUCCUAACAAGCCCAUCAGAAAACUCUUCCCAGAUCCGUUAAGCUUCCUGUUUUCAGAGUCUGGGCCAACGACAACUAAGAUUAACUCAGUCCUUUAAAACGCACGUUUUCAUCCAAUCGCGCUUUUUUGUUAUUAUUUGGGUGGUGAGGGGGAAUCCCGCCUCGUUCCCCAAAUCUGCUUUUGUGGCAAAUGAUAGGAUAAGACAGGGGUUUAAGUCCUCCUCUAGCCCUACUUCCCAAUUUUGAUCUGGACGUGGGAACAAAAAAACAGCCUUUGCUGCUGAAGGUAUACAAACUUUUUGGAAAGCCUUUUUUUUUUCAAUGUUGCCUGGCUGGGAUUUGGAAGAAGAUCUCACCUGCAGACAGGUGGGCACAUAUAUCCCUUUUCUCCACCUGUACUAGGUGCCAGGGCAGUUACCGGUGUACCCAGGUGGUGUAGAUAUCCAUUUUACUUACUCUCUCUCUCUCUCUCUCUUUCUCUCAAACCGUGUCCUCACCUAGUGCAAUAAAAAAAUGCUACACACUAAAACAGGUGCUUAAACUCUUGUCAAGGUGCCUCAGCUCUCCGUUGGUUUGGGUCAGCAGGAGUUAAAAUUCUUGCAUUUUCUCCCUGAACAUUCAAAGAAAAGAAAAGCAGCAGACAAACUAAAGCAGUGGCCACUCUCCCUCCCUUUGUGUCCUGAUCUUGAUUAUCCAAGUGAGGUAUUCUCAAGGAAAAAAAACAAACAAAACCUUAAGCAAUCUAAUAUCUGAGUUCUGGAUGUCAGAACUAAGAUGUUUCACUUCUUUUUCUGAAUGGGGACGAACACUGCAUAUGCCCUUUCCUACACACACACACACACACACACACACACAGAGCUCUGGAAGAAGCAUAUCAAACUUUUUUUUUUUUUUUGAAGACUUCACUUCAGUGUACUGACACAACUGAAUAAUGUUCUUGGAAAUGUGUACUUUCCAAGUUACUAGAAGCUCUAUUUCAAUCAACUGAAGGACAAUCUAAAUCAGGGAUGUCAAACUCACAAUGUCACGUGACGUGCCGCGACGGAUUGCGACUUUUUUUUUUUUUGCCAUUGCUGGCAAUGGGGCGGGCACGGUUUCACUAUGAUGCAUUUGGCCCAUGGGCCGGCAGUUUGACACCCCUGAUCUAAAUGGCGUUAUCAUACUGUCAACUUGUAAGUCCGGAUUUGAAAACUCACAAAGUCACAUGAGUCUGUGACACCACCCUUCCAUUAAAAGACCAGAGUGCAAUUAUUGGCCAAAUCCCAGUCUUCCACAGUGCUGGCCGUAUCAACUCAGUCAAAAACUAGUAAUUUAAAGCAUUGUGUGCUAACACUCACAAGCUAGUCUCAACACAACAUUAUUAUUGUCUGCACAACCCCCUCCCAUCCUAAUUUUGGUAUUAACACAUUUUCAGUGGAAGAGAAUCGAGCAAAGUAAGAAUCCUAAUAGAAAAGGUUCAAGAUCAACAUUACACUUCACACUUCACACAUGCUACUGAGUGUCGCUGUACAUGCAAAAAAACCUAAAUCAUCAAAGGAAACAGGAUUUAAAUUGCUGGUAAAAGUCUUUGAUUGCUACUGUCACACUAUACACAACUGUACAAAUUGGCAAAGCCUUUUUCCGAUACACAACACCCACUUUCCAAGCUUAUAAAAAGGGGUAGACAGACCAAUGGUGACUAUAAAACAGUUAAAAAUAAUUAUUUGUAAAAAGCAUGAAGGGAGCCUCUUCUGAUCCAUUUUUAGUAAUUAAUUUUUUUUCUUCAGCAAAGAUAAGUCAAUCUACCCAAGAAUGGAUUCUGACUAGAAAAGCUACUGCCAGGUUAUUUAAAAAAAA